rnacentral:snoRNA from 1 species
UAUAAGGCUUGUCAUUCAUCAUUAACGUGCCAAUUGCUAGUUGAUAUAAAAAUUAUACCAGAAUCGUUGGAAACACCUCAUAGAUUAACUGUGUGGUUUCCUUUACUCAUAGAACUACCUGUUAGAUCUGUGGGAAAGAACUACAAGACAGAG